AAAAUAGAUAAAUUAUCAAAAUGUUUCAAAAUGGUACGAAAACAUUAUUAAUCAGUUGAUUUAUCGACAUCAGAAAUGUAUUGAACGUAACGGACGCUACUUUUGGACUAUAAGCGAUGUACAACACAUCAGAAAUCUAAGUAACGUCCAGUGACGUCGCUGACGUCAGAAAACACCAUCGUGAUCUUGGGCGGUCACAGUCGGAUGGCAUUGCCUUAUGCGCCCUCAUAUACAGACAGUUUGUCAUACGCGAUUGAAAUUUCAUGUACAAGUGUAUAUUAAAUUGCCGUUUCCAGUCAUGUUAUUUUUAAGAAUUACAUUUGCCUAAAAAGAAAGUUAUAUGCACAGUCUACAAAUGUAUUAAAAUCCCCUCGUAAUAACGGAGUAGAUGCGUCUGGACGUCUACAGCUGAUCUUGUUAUCCGGAUUGUCGUCUUCAAAUGACAUUCCAUAAUAUAUCUAAGUUAUGAUAAAUAAUACUUGUUUUAAGAAAUGAAUUGUAUUUUUUUUAAAUGUACAUACAAUCAUAAUAUAUUCACGAUAGAUCAAUCCCGUUUCAAAAUGCAACUACGUGUAUUUGUAUCUUGUUUAUCUGCCCUAUUUUAGUUUGUUGAUUCUCUUCAUGAGAUAAACCUAUGUUCAUAACAUACUACCUGCUUCUGUUUUAUUAGAUAGAUAUGAAUAAGGAAAAACAAGAUUUAGAGCAGCUAAAAAAAAGAACAGAUCAGUGUUUGUUUGAUCUAAUAAUCAUUAUAUAAAUAUAGAAACUGACACGCGCAAUAAAUUUAGUAAACAAACAAACAGCUGAGUGUAGGAGGAAAGUAAGUGAUUUGCAUUGUUAAGUUCGAAGAAGAUCGAUAAAAUUUUUAAGUUAUUGUAUGGACUACUAUUGACGCAAAAUUAGAUAUGUCAAACGAAUGACCAAAAUAUACAGCUUACCCUGGAACAGAAAAAAUGGAAUGGAAUUGUACUAAAAUCAUAAAUUAUAAGUUUGCAUCAAAAUCAGACCUCAUUGUACUUUAUAAAAAGAGAUGUCAGUUAAGAAAACGUUCUAACGGAGCAAAAUGCUUGUCUCGUUCUGAAUUGAAAGCAGAGACAAAUUCGAGACAAAUGAUUGCAAGCGACAUAUGUGCGGAAUACUCCACUCAUUUGUACACAAGUGUGAACGACGCUUCAAACGUAAUGCUGAAUAAAAGAACACUUGGCAGAGGGGAUAUUUAACUUUCCCAGACAUUGCUGAAUUUAAAAUGUGUAGUACGGGGCUAACAAAACAAGUGCGACAGUUUUUAUUGAAUAUUAUAUUAUGAGUUAAAAAAAAUGACUCUAUGUUAACAUAACUUGAAUUGACUAAAUACUAUUGCUUGUGUUCUUCCUAGAAAUGAGUAUCCGCAACAGGUUUCCUCUGAGCAAGCAAGUGAAGACAGGAGUGAAAUUGCCUUUUCAAACGGACCCUCGUUUCCAACUCAUGCACAUAAGUACUCCAUGAACUCGGAGAUACCUUUUGUCAGAGAUGGAUGUUUAAACCCGUUUAAAAGGCUACCAUCUUUACAUAAUGGAGUGACCGGAGCUACCGUAAGACUAACUCACCAAGCCAGACAUCCUAUGUAUGCUGAGUACGGUGAAAGACUUAGAUCCUUUGCUAGAUGGACUCGUUCAAAUCCUGAUCCAGUUUGUCUUUGCAACGCAGGAUUCUUCUUUACAAAUGAAGGAGAUCUAGUGCGAUGUUUCAGUUGUGGCAUAGGCCUAAAGGACUUUACAGAUCGUGAUGAUCCUUUGCUGGAACACGUCAGAAAUUCUGGAAAUUGUCUGUACCUCCUUCCAUAAAGGGCUAGCUGUCAGAAACCACAAAAAAUUCAAGGAAGUAAGUAAUAUCUGGGGUUUUUUUUGUGUUUUGUUGCGUUGCUAUUUAAGUCACACCGACAUUUAGCAAUUUACCAUCUGUACUAGUGAAGGAGGACCCCGAAUGCCACUUCGUGCAUUAUUUCAGGUAAGAGCGGGCACCUGAAUAGAACCACCUGCGUUCCGUAAGCUAGCUGGAUAGCUUGUUAACAAGAAAGAAUCAAAAGCAUCUGACGGAACUCAAAAUCAAAGCGGUGAAGAGCAAGUGAUUAUAAAUCAGCGUCCUUAACGUCUCCAAAUUAUUGAACCAGUGUCCAAAAAAGACAAACUUGUAUUGAAUGUUUUAGGAGCUUAUAAAGAGUAACAAUAUUCCAAAGAAUUCAAUGUCCAUGAUGUGAUUCGGCACAACAGCGAUUGGGAUCUUAAACUUCUCGGUCGAGGACGCCCACUUUCAUGUAAAUCAGUUUUUAAGUGCAUGCAAUAAUAAUGCGAGUUUGUGCAUAAGAAUAGAACCAAACAAACAAUUUACAUAAAAGUAAUGUACAUAUAUAAAAAUCUCAAAACAAAUGUAAUAAUUUCCUUCUUCGGCUUAAGUUAAGACGGAAGUUUUCACAAUAAAAGUGAAAAAAAUUGAGUAUAGCACGUGUAAAAACAGAAACAUUAGGAUGUUUUAAAGCUUAAGGAACAAUACGUGCUACUAAAUACAUAAAGAAAUAACACUACCUUAUGCAUUAAAUGUCAAAAGGAAGGAAAUAUAAUACGUUAAGUCAAGUUUAAUCGAAAAAAAAUGUUGUAUGU